AAAAAAUCCAAAUCCAAUCUGACAGGUGAGUGCAGACCCCUAACAAUAUUCCUCCACUAUCAUAGUUACCUUCUAAAUUCACAAAGUACUUUGCCGUUUUAAAGACCAUUUGAAAAGCAUCUGAUGUUGGGGCGCCUGGGUGGCUCAGUGGGUUAAGCCGCUGCCUUCAGCUCAG